UGGGGAAUUUUGGACAAUGGGCGCAAGCCUGAUCCAGCAAUGCCGCGUGAGUGAAGAAGGCCUUCGGGUUGUAAAGCUCUUUUGUCAGGGAAGAAACGGUGGGAGCUAAUACCUCCCGCUAAUGACGGUACCUGAAGAAUAAGCACCGGCUAACUACGUGCCAGCAGCCGCGGUAAUACGUAGGGUGCAAGCGUUAAUCGGAAUUACUGGGCGUAAAGCGUGCGCAGGCGGUUUUGUAAGUCUGAUGUGAAAUCCCCGGGCUCAACCUGGGAAUUGCAUUGGAGACUGCAAGGCUAGAAUCUGGCAGAGGGGGGUAGAAUUCCACGUGUAGCAGUGAAAUGCGUAGAGAUGUGGAGGAACACCGAUGGCGAAGGCAGCCCCCUGGGUCAAGAUUGACGCUCAUGCACGAAAGCGUGGGGAGCAAACAGGAUUAGAUACCCUGGUAGUCCACGCCCUAAACGAUGUCUACUAGUUGUCGGGUUUUAAUUAACUUGGUAACGCAGCUAACGCGUGAAGUAGACCGCCUGGGGAGUACGGUCGCAAGAUUAA
rnacentral:rRNA from 1 species